GACAUGGUAGGUGGAAAGAUGGUGGGAAGAGUUGAUAUAGUGGUUCCGAGGGAUUCAAAGGUUAUCUGGAACACUAAAUCCUCAUCGGAAAUGAAGACCAGAUGUGGCUUGCAAAAGAACUUGGGAAAAGAAGAGGGUAAAAUCCCCCCUGAAACAGAGGAGGAGGAGGAAUCGGCAGGCCCACCAGGUUUUUCAUGAGGGCAGCCCUCAAAGUGCUACUGGUUCAACUGAGGGAAUGACAGGGGAAUCUUCAACUGUUAAUUAACCAUGGAGAUUGAAACUGCAGCUCAAGUGUCAUCACCAACUUUUAACCAGACAUAACCACAGUAGACUAGGCUUCAUCUAGGACCCCUUUGCAUCAGACAUGACCACAGUAGACUAGAUAGCUAGCUUCAACAAAAAUUAUAUAAACCCAUUAAAGAAAAAACAGAGUCCUCUGUUUGUAGCGCCUCUUACUUGUAUUGGAUCUUUUUGGCUUGGUUGUGUCUAUUAUUAUAGAGCCUCCUUCGAUUGACCUAAA